AUGCCGCGUGAGUGAUGAAGGCCUUAGGGUCGUAAAGCUCUUUCGCCAGGGAUGAUAAUGACAGUACCUGGUAAAGAAACCCCGGCUAACUCCGUGCCAGCAGCCGCGGUAAUACGGAGGGGGUUAGCGUUGUUCGGAAUUACUGGGCGUAAAGCGCGCGUAGGCGGAUCAGAAAGUUGGGGGUGAAAUCCCGGGGCUCAACCCCGGAACUGCCUCCAAAACUCCUGGUCUUGAGUUCGAGAGAGGUGAGUGGAAUUCCGAGUGUAGAGGUGAAAUUCGUAGAUAUUCGGAGGAACACCAGUGGCGAAGGCGGCUCACUGGCUCGAUACUGACGCUGAGGUGCGAAAGUGUGGGGAGCAAACAGGAUUAGAUACCCUGGUAGUCCACACCGUAAACGAUGAAUGCCAGUCGUCGGGUAGCAUGCUAUUCGGUGACACACCUAACGGAUUAAGCAUUCCGCCU
rnacentral:rRNA from 1 species